rnacentral:tRNA from 1 species
CAAGAUAUAGCUUACACAAAGCAUCCAGCUUACACCUGAAAGAUGUUCUAAAUACCAAGAACUAUCUUGA